rnacentral:rRNA from 1 species
UCUGCUAAGUCGCAAUACGAUGUAUAGGAGCUGACGCCUGCCCGGUGCUGGAAGGUUAAGGGGAUCUGUUAGAGCAAUCGAAGCAGUGAACUUAAGCCCCAGUAAACGGCGGCCGUAACUAUAACGGUCCUAAGGUAGCGAAAUUCCUUGUCGGGUAAGUUCCGACCCGCACGAAAGGCGUAACGAUUUGGGCACUGUCUCAACAACAGACUCGGUGAAAUUGUAAUUCCGGUGAAGAUGCCGGAUACCUGCGACAGGACGGAAAGACCCCAUGGAGCUUUACUGUAGCUUGACAUUGGGUCUUGGUACUACAUGUACAGGAUAGGUGGGAGGCUUUGAAACCAGGACGCCAGUUUUGGCGGAGCCAUCCUUGGGAUACCACCCUUGUAGUACUGGGACUCUAACCAUAGACCAUGAAUCUGGUCUUGGGACACUGUCAGGUGGGCAGUUUGACUGGGGCGGUCGCCUCCCAAAAGGUAACGGAGGCGCUCAAAGGUUCUCUCAGUACGGUCGGAAAUCGUACGUAGAGUGUAAAGGC